rnacentral:rRNA from 1 species
GAUGAACGCUGGCGGCGUGCUUAACACAUGCAAGUCGAACGGGGAUUAUUUCAUUGAAGCUUCGGCAGAUUUGGCUUAAUCCUAGUGGCGGACGGGUGAGUAACGCGUGGGUAACCUGCCUUAUACAGGGGGAUAACAGUCAGAAAUGGCUGCUAAUACCGCAUAAGCGCACAGGGCCGCAUGGCCCGGUGUGAAAAACUGAGGUGGUAUAAGAUGGACCCGCGUUGGAUUAGCCAGUUGGCAGGGUAACGGCCUACCAAAGCGACGAUCCAUAGCCGGCCUGAGAGGGUGAACGGCCACAUUGGGACUGAGACACGGCCCAAACUCCUACGGGAGGCAGCAGUGGGGAAUAUUGCACAAUGGGGGAAACCCUGAUGCAGCGACGCCGCGUGAGCGAAGAAGUAUUUCGGUAUGUAAAGCUCUAUCAGCAGGGAAGAAGAAUGACGGUACCUGACUAAGAAGCACCGGCUAA